AACGUAGGACACAAGCGUUAUCCGGAGUUACUGGGCGUAAAGGGUUUGUAGGUGGCUUGUUAAGUCAGACGUGAAAUCCCUCAGCUUAACUGGGGAACUGCGUCUGAUACUGGCGAGCUUGAGUGCAGGAGAGGAACGCGGAAUUCCAGGUGUAGCGGUGAAAUGCGUAGAUAUCUGGAGGAACACCGGUGGCGAAGGCGGCGUUCUGGACUGCAACUGACACUGAGAAACGAAAGCCAGGGUAGCAAACGGG
rnacentral:rRNA from 1 species